rnacentral:rRNA from 1 species
AGGGUUUGAUUAUGGCUCAGGAUGAACGCUGGCGGCGUGCCUAACACAUGCAAGUCGAACGGAGUUACUUUAGUGAAGUUUUCGGAUGGAUCUGAUUUAACUUAGUGGCGGACGGGUGAGUAAUGCGUGAGCAACCUGCCCUUCAGAGGGGGACAACAGUUGGAAACGACUGCUAAUACCGCAUAAUGUAUUCGGAAGGCAUCUUCUGGAUACCAAAGGAGAAAUCCGCUGAUGGAUGGGCUCACGUCUGAUUAGCUAGUUGGUGAGGUAACGGCUCACCAAGGCUGCGAUCAGUAGCCGGACUGAGAGGUUGAACGGCCACAUUGGGACUGAGAUACGGCCCAG